ensembl:snoRNA small nucleolar RNA, H/ACA box 24
CUCCAUGGUCUCAUGGGGGCUGCCGCUCGUGGCUGUUCCCCUUCCUAGACAUGGAAGAGCAGCGGCUUGCUAAUUGGCAAAGCUUGUACCGACCCGUUGGUAUCAGUUGUUGACUGUAGCAAGUAACACUC